rnacentral:rRNA from 1 species
AGCGAACGCUGGCGGCAGGCUUAACACAUGCAAGUCGAGCGGGCACUUUCGGGUGUCCGCGGCGGACGGGUGCGUAACGCGUGGGAACGUGCCCUCUGGUUCGGAAUAACUCAGGGAAACUUGAGCUAAUACCGGAUACGCCCUUUUGGGGAAAGGCUUGCUGCCGGAGGAUCGGCCCGCGUCUGAUUAGCUAGUUGGUGAGGUAACGGCUCACCAAGGCGACGAUCAGUAGCUGGUCUGAGAGGAUGAUCAGCCACACUGGGACUGAGACACGGCCCAGACUCCUACGGGAGGCAGCAGUGGGGAAUAUUGGACAAUGGGCGCAAGCCUGAUCCAGCCAUGCCGCGUGAGUGAUGAAGGCCUUAGGGUUGUAAAGCUCUUUUAUCCGGGACGAUAAUGACGGUACCGGAGGAAUAAGCCCCGGCUAACUUCGUG